CCUACGGGAGGCAGCAGUGAGGAAUAUUGGUCAAUGGACGAGAGUCUGAACCAGCCAAGUAGCGUGAAGGAUGACUGCCCUAUGGGUUGUAAACUUCUUUUAUAUGGGAAUAAAAUGUUCCACGUGUGGGAUUUUGUAUGUACCAUAUGAAUAAGGAUCGGCUAACUCCGUGCCAGCAGCCGCGGUAAUACGGAGGAUCCGAGCGUUAUCCGGAUUUAUUGGGUUUAAAGGGAGCGUAGGUGGAUUGUUAAGUCAGUUGUGAAAGUUUGCGGCUCAACCGUAAAAUUGCAGUUGAAACGGGCAGUCUUGAGUACAGUAGAGGUGGGCGGAAUUCGUGGUGUAGCGGUGAAAUGCUUAGAUAGCACGAAGAACUCCGAUUGCGAAGGCAGUUCACUGGACUGCAACUGACACUGAGGCUCGAAAGUGUGGGUAUCAAACAGGAUGAGAUACCCCGGUAGUC
rnacentral:rRNA from 1 species